rnacentral:rRNA from 1 species
GACGAACGCUGGCGGCGUGCCUAAUACAUGCAAGUCGAGCGAAUUUCAAGGGGCUUGCCCCUUGAGGUUAGCGGCGGACGGGUGAGUAACACGUGGGCAACCUGCCUGUAAGACUGGGAUAACACCGGGAAACCGGUGCUAAUACCGGAUAAUUCUUUCCCUCACAUGAGGGAAAGCUGAAAGUCGGUUUCGGCUGACACUUACAGAUGGGGCCCGCGGCGCAUUAGCUAGUUGGUGAGGUAACGGCUCACCAAGGCGACGAUGCGUAGCCGACCUGAGAGGGUAAUCGGCCACAUUGGAACUGAGACACGGUCCAAACUCCUACGGGAGGCAG